UUGGUCAUGAUGUUUGUGCAGG
rnacentral:piRNA from 1 species